UAAAAAAAAAAAAAAAAAUAAAAGCAAAAAAUAAAGAAGAAUAUGUGUGUCCUCUGUAACAACAUUGAUCUAGACCUACUUUGUAGGGCACCUUGUUGUUCAAUACCCAUUGAAAAAAA
rnacentral:sRNA from 14 species